UACGUAGGGUGCAAGCGUUAAUCGGAAUUACUGGGCGUAAAGCGUGCGCAGGCGGUUCUAUAAGUCAGAUGUGAAAUCCCCGGGCUCAACCUGGGAACUGCAUUUGUGACUGGAGAGCUGGAGUACGGCAGAGGGGGAUGGAAUUCCGCGUGUAGCAGUGAAAUGCGUAGAUAUGCGGAGGAACACCGAUGGCGAAGGCAGUCCCCUGGGCCUGUACUGACGCUCAUGCACGAAAGCGUGGGGAGCAAACAGG
rnacentral:rRNA from 1 species